rnacentral:rRNA from 1 species
GUUUUAUUCAAAACAUGUCUACAUGGGUAUAAUAUUAAAUGUAGUCCAGCCUGCCCACUGAAUAUAAAUUUUAAAGGGCCGCGGUACACUGACCGUGCUAAGGUAGCAUAAUCAAUAGUCUUUUAAUUGGAGACUGGAAUGAACGGCUAGAUAAAAAGUUUACUGUCUAUAUAAUAAAUCUUGAAUUUUACUUUUAAGUGAAAAGGCUUAAAUAUAUUAAAGUGACGAUAAGACCCUAUAAAACUUUAUAAUAAAUUAUGAUUAUCUUAAAUUUUAAAUCAAAAUAUAUUUCAUAUAUUACUAUUUAGUUGGGGCGACUGAGAUAUAAAAAAUCUGUCUUUAGUAAAAAAUACUUAUAACUAGAUCAAGAUCCUUUAUUAAGGAUUAAAAGGCUAAGUUACUUUAGGGAUAACAGCGUGAUUUUUCUUAAGAGUUCUUAUCGACAGAAUAAGUUGCGACCUCGAUGUUGAAUUAAAUUUUCUUUUAGGUGCAGGAGUUUAAAAAGUAGGUCUGUUCGACCUUUAAAAAUUUACAUGAUUUGAGUUCAAACCGGUGUGAGCCAGGGGGG